rnacentral:lncRNA from 1 species
UGACAGCUGCCCUUUUUCACUGCCGAAACGCUUCCACUCUGAAACGAGUCAGCGCUUCCACUCUGAAACGAGUCAGCGCUUCCACUCUGAAAACGAGUCAGCGCUUCCACUCUGAAAACGAGUCAGCGCUUCCACUCUGAAAACGAGUCAGCGCUUCCACUCUGAAAACGAGUCAGCGCUUCCACUCUGAAAACGAGUCAGCGCUUCCACUCUGAAACGAGUCAACGCUUCCACUCUGAAAAUGAGUCAGCGCUUCCACUCUGAAACGAGUCAACGCUUCCACUCUGAAACGAGUCAACGCUUCCACUCUGAAACGAGUCAGCGCUUCCACUCUGAAACGAGUCAGCGCUUCCACUCUGAAAACGAUCAGCGCUUCCACUCUGAAACGAGUCAACACUUCCAGGUAAGUGCAUUUUGAUGUCAACUUCCCCUCCGGUCUCCUGGAAUCAGCUUGUCGUCUCUAUUUGUGUCCUCGGGGACAAGUGGAUGAAGAGGACAUUGCCAUAAAUGUUGGAAGUGAUACGACUACGUCCCAAAUGGCACCGUAUUCCACUAUGUAGUGCGCUACUUUUGAGCUGGACCCAUAGGCUCCGGUCUAAAGUAGUGCACUAGACUAUAUAGAGGGGGGGAUAAGGUGCGGUUUGUGUCGCAGCCUAUAUCCCAGGGUUUUGCUGUGUUCUGUUCAGAGCUCUGAGAGAGCGCGUUAAAGCAGAGAGCUGUUCUAAGACUGGAUGGUUGGGGAGCGCGUUAAAGUGUCUAUAGAGCAGAGAGCUGUUCUAAGACUGGAUGGUUGGGGAGCGUGUUAAAGCAGAGAGCUGUUCUAAGACUGGAUGGUUGGGGAGCGCGUUAAAACAGAGAGCUGUUCUAAGACUGGAUGGUUGGGGAGCGCGUUAAAACAGAGAGCUGUUCUAAGACUGGAUGGUUGGGGAGCGCGUUAAAGUGUCUAUAGAGCAGAGAGCUGUUCUAAGACUGGAUGGUUGGGAGCGUGUUAAAGCAGAGAGCUGUUCUAAGACUGGAUGGUUGGGAGCGCGUUAAAGUGUCUAUAGAGCAGAGAGCUGUUCUAAGACUGGAUGGUUGGGAGCGCGUUAAAGUGUCUAUAGAGCAGAGAGCUGUUCUAAGACUGGAUGGUUGGGAGCGCGUUAAAGUGUCUAUUGAGCAGAGAGCUGUUCUAAGACUGGAUGGUUGGGGAGCGCGUUAAAGUGUCUAUAGAGCAGAAAGCUGUUCUAAGACUGGAUGGUUGGGAGCGCGUUAAAGUGUCUAUUGAGCAGAGAGCUGUUCUAAGACUGGAUGGUUGGGAGCGUGUUAAAGCAGAGAGCUGUUCUAAGACUGGAUGGUUGGGAGCGCGUUAAAGUGUCUAUAGAGCAGAGAGCUGUUCUAAGACUGGAUGGUUGGGGAGCGCGUUAAAGUGUAUUGAGCAGAGAGCUUUUCUAAGACUGGAUGGUUGGGGAGCGCGUUAAAGUGUCUAUAGAGCAGAGAGCUGUUCUAAGACUGGAUGGUUGGGAGCGCGUUAAAGUCGCGUUAAAGCAGAGAGCUGUUCUAAGACUGGAUGGUUGGGGAGCGCGUUAAAGUGUAUUGAGCAGAGAGCUGUUCUAAGACUGGAUGGUUGGGAGCGCGUUAAAGUGUAUUGAGCAGAGAGCUGUUCUAAGACUGCAUGGUUGGGGAGCGCGUUAAAGUGUCUAUAGAGCAGAAAGCUGUUCUAAGACUGGAUGGUUGGGAGCGCGUUAAAGUGUCUAUUGAGCAGAGAGCUGUUCUAAGACUGGAUGGUUGGGAGCGCGUUAAAGUGUCUAUUGAGCAGAGAGCUGUUCUAAGACUGGAUGGUUGGGAGCGCGUUAAAGCAGAGAGCUGUUCUAAGACUGGA